ensembl:lncRNA
GUGCGUGCGUGCGUGCGCGCGCGCGCGCGUGUGUGUUGAGGAGCACAUGGACGACAGAGGACGAGAUUUUAGCAGCGCGGCUAAUUAAAGCAGCUCAUCGCCUGAGGGGGGAAAAAAAGACAUCUCAGGACUAAAUUUAACACCGGGAACGCAGACACAGGCUUGUGUUUUAUAUCAGACGGGCAAAAAAACAAGAAAAAAAGGUGAGUUUAAAGUGUAGUUUGUUUGUUAAACGACAUCUUGAGCUUUUUGUUUUUUUUAGGCUAAACACAAACACAAACAAAUGUCCUGUGUGCUCGUGUGAAGUUAAAGGUAUUUACUUCAGAAAUAGUGUGAACAAUGAGUGGAAAGUCUUUUCAAAAGGACUUGAAGUCAUGUUUUUGCAGAGUUAGCAUGUAGCCUUCAUAUCAAAUGGUUAUUUAUUUGUUAUAAUCUCAUUGCAUCAUGUUGCAACUCACUUAUUUUAUUAUACUGUAUUGUUUGAUUUAUUGCAUACAAGUUAAAUAGAAGAGUAUGUUCUCAAAUAUUUCAUCUUUUUUUCUUCUUCUUCUAAACAUUGUUGCUUGUGCAAAAAUGCACUGAGAAAAGUGUGUGCAUUUAUUUUAUCCUGCCAUUUUACCAAAAACCCAUAAGCAGGAGGUCAUAAACUGAGGCUAUAGACAUGCCUCCACGUGAUAAUAACCUCCAGCUGCUUCAGCUAUGGCUGUCACUCGCAGCCCUUUAUGACAUGUCUCUGUGUCGUGACCUGCGUCCUCCUGAUGAUGCGACGUGUGAUGUCACCUCCACCGCAAGCUCCUAUCGAUGAACCUUGACAAAGCGAGGCCCCUAAUUACCGAAGACUCGUCACCUACCUCGGCUUGAUGCUGUACAUCUUUUAUGUUCAUGCUGGCAGGCCACAAGUCGCUCGUGCCUCUUGUUGCUCGUGGGUCACGUUCCAACGAAAAUUGGUAGUAGCUAUGUAUAGCUUCUAGCGCUCAGUAAUUUAAACACCUGGUAAAUAAAGCACUAAAGAUUGUCAAGAUUGGUGGUUUGAUUGAUUUGUUACGUGCAAGGUUCGGUCAGUCCGUACAGGAUUUCACUUACGUUUUAUUGUUAUUUUUUUUAUGAAUGGUUUGGCCCAAAAUGCUCAAAAUGAUUUUAACGGAAGACUACUGACGAAAUUGCAAUUGCACGAAAUUGUUCUUUCGCAGUGAUGAGAUCUUUUUAGCUGUACCGAUGUUCACGUGAAUCGAAAAGGCCGUUGUGAUGACGUCACGUCACGCGCCUUAGUUUAAAUCGGCGGUAAAUUUGAAAAACUUGCAAGCUCUUUCGAAUAUUGCGGAGUUUAAUUGAUUUCGUGUUAACUUAUGUGAUCGCCAAGUCGCUAAAUCCUGGAGGGACUGCUCUGGACAAGCUUCACUGGCAAUGCAAGCUAGCUAGCGCCUUCCUAGAGUUACAACCUUUGAAGCUUUCUUUUUCUUUGUAACGCCUGUACACAUUUAACGCGAGGUCGGACAUCACGGGAUAAACGUUUUUCUUCCACUUUUGCACCUUGAGAAGUAAAAGGUAGGAGUCGGGAACUGAAGAAACAUCCGACCACACGCGCCGUAGGAUCGGUCCGAGGAAACCUUCGAGCCACUGGUUUGGAUCUGUCCUGUUACUACGUCAUGCUGUAUUUUUUGUUGUUGUUGUUGCACAGAAUGAAGAAAUCUCUCGUGUAAUGUUGCGCUGUCACUAUGUCACUUGUCAUACACACUAAUGUUGGUUGUCCAAGGUCAAGGUCUUUAGCAAGUCAAGCGGAAGAAAAGGUCAUCUGAGGUGACCUCGUGAGGGUGGUGCACGUGAAUGUGUGGAGUCUGGAUAAUCAUGUUCGGAUGCCGUGUGAAGCGAGCACAGAUAUCAUCAUUCACUGGCUGAGGGGCACCUCGGGGAGCCUUUGGCAGCUGGUGGAGCAGACGGGAGUGAUUGCGGCAGCAGUAUGGCUGCGUUAGCUUUGAUUAGAAAAGCGUGGACGCUGAAUUGAGCGUGUAGGAUGAUGUCUGUGUCAAACCUAAUGAUUUGUCUGACUGUGUUUAUGUUGGAGGUGGGGGCGGCUCAGUCUCGUUUAAUAAUUCCGUGGGCUAUAUAUAUAUAUAUAUAUAUAAUGUAUAUGUAUAUGUAUAUAUGUAUAUGUAUAUAUAUGUAUAUAUGUAUAUGUGUGUCCUGAUAAGUAGCUUACAUGACUGAAUGGGACAAAAAUGACUCUUUAAUGGUUAACCUGUCAGUAGUUAAUGGCUAUAAAUAAGACGCAUCAGUUUUGUUUCCUACUGCAUUUACCACUUUUGACUACAGACACCAACUUUGAACAGAAGAAACAUCUGCUUUAGGGCUUGAAGUGGAGAAUAAGCGCAUACUUUUUUAUUUUUCCCCACACUUGCAUUCGUCUUCAAACAUUCUGUCCUCAUUGUCAUCUUAUUUAUUAACAAGUCACGCUGUGACUUCGCUAAUCAGACCAAAAAAAAAGUGAAAUAAAAAUCUGUGAAAGUCUAUAAAAACUACCCCCCCCCCCAUAACCUUCCUUCAAGGUAAAUCAUUUUCAUAAAUGCCUGUGAUUGGCUCUGACUCGCAGCCUGAGGGUCCCUGGUUUGAUCUUGAGCUCAGUUUACUGUCUCUGGAGGUUCACUUGUUCUCGCCGUGUUCCAAAAGAGUUCCAUUUAAAGCACAUCCACUUUGUGUUUAAAGUCCCCAUGAAUUAAAAAUGUGACGUUCCGUGGCUUUUAGUAUGAAUAUAUUCGCCUUAAGAUCAUCUCCAUGCUAGUGUGCUUCACAACAAUGACAGAAUUUCCAUUUAGAAGAUGUACAGUCUCUCUACCACCGAAACGGAUCGACAGUUCUGAUGACCUCAUUCUGCACCUCAGCGUCUCGUCAGGUUUUCUGUCCAAUCCGAUGCUCUCUAGAAUCUGAAGUGUCCCGCCCCCUGACAUUAUAAAAAUCCACGGUACUAACUGUCAAGUACGGCUUAGCUUGGGCUGUGAGGUAAGCUAAACACUCCUGGCGAUUUAAAAAGGGGGAGGAGCCACUCGGUAUGUCCCGCCCUGAUGUCCUGUUUCAGUGGAAAUUACAUCAACGCAUCAAAUAAUGCUUUUAUAAUCAUUUCAAGGCGCUUUAAAUUCAGAUACAUAGACGCAUAUUUGGAGCAUAGAUACAGAUGGUGACGUCCGACCAGAAAACGUAAAAGGACCAGCUGUACAUCUGACUUAUAAACUGCUGACACUGGAGUCUCCUUCCAUGAGCAUUCUUCCAUAGCAACUUCUCAGUAUGUGUUUUUAUUUAUACUUCUAAAAAGCUUUCGUAAUCUUUAUUUUUUUACACUAACAAUUAAAUGGUGCCGGAAAAAUCCCUAUAAAUUAGUUGUUACAAUAGGAAUACUACUACUAUCACUACUACUAAUAAUGCAUCGAAACUAAGUAUUUAAUGUAUAUCUGAUUUAAUUUUCAGCAAGCAUUACUUGCCACACUGUUCUAGAAAAGUAAUCGAGACCUUCAGACCGAUCACAGUCAGAAAAUCAGUAGUGCCAUGACGAAAUAAUUUCACAUGGCCAUUCACUUUUAAGCGAUGAUAGCCCUGUCCUUCUGUGUUCUGAGAAAAACUUGGAUCGUUCACAGGAACAAGGCCUGGAGAUAUGUGAACCUGUGUUCCUGCAGUGUGAAUAACCUGGAGUUACCCCACUCCCCCCCCCCCCCCCCCCUCUCUCUCUCUCUCUCUCUCUCUCUCACAUUUCAGUUACUUAAGUUCAUGACAUUAAUAGAACGCAGUACAUGGCGUAAGUUACUAUCAAAGCUUACGCAAUGUUAUAUAAAGGGAAAUUAAACCUAAAAAGUAAUGCAUAAAAAAUGCUAUUAUAUAAUAUAUAUAAUACAAACAUUGUUUUUAUACAAGUUUAUAAGUUUAUAUUAUGUAAGUACUUUUUAUGGAUGCACAAAAAGCAGAGGAUUAAACGACAGGCGUGUAAAUAUGUUGUGUCUGAUCUACGCACCACGAGUUAAGGGAAGAAGCAUGAUCGGGCUUGCUGUUCUAGUACAAAUAAACAUCGGUGGCACGGUUUGCUACGGACCUGACGCAACGCCACGUUACUGUUCAGACCACAAAGUUGAUUAUUUCCUAGUAACUGCAGUUCCCGAAGUGUUUCCACUCUCAACGCUGGUUUGUCAACGAUUAACCCGUUUAGUUUAAUACAGAACGACACAUCGUGCUUUUUAAUCGUCUGUAGUUGCCUCGAAUGAAAUGCACACCACUUCAGGGCGAUCCGUGAACACGUCGCUGAAAGCCGGACCGCAACGGAGGACCAAAAACGACCGACCGCGUCAUUGCCCUAGCUAGAAAAUAGGCAAUCGGUGCGAGACUGUUUGGAAACGGUGCAGGACGUCGGAGCUCUCUGCCGCUAGUCUCAUGGAUCGAGACGACGCUGUGACGGCAACGACGAAAGCAGCGAAAUGCUUUUCACUGCUUCACUCGUCCUCGCAUCUCUCACUCGUUGAUCAAUUUCUUUAGCAGACCGCACGAUUAAAACGCUUGACGCGUUAAAGCCGUGCGUACAGGGACACCAGAGAGGAUUUGCAGGAUGGAAGGCUGACGCAAUAAUCUUACGUCAGUCCUUCCAGGAUUUUGCAGAAAUGAACGCAAAAUCAAGGAAAACUCCAAACAUUCGAGGAGAUUUUUUUUCUCUCUCUCGAAAUUACCGCCGAUUCGGGCCGAGACGCGUCACGUGACGUCAUCACGACGCAUGUCGAGCCAAAGCCCUCUUCGAUUCACGUGCGUCGAACGUGAGUACAGCUAUAGUCUUACCAGCAAACGUCAAGACCGUGCAAAACAAUUUCGCGGAAUUGCGAUUUCGGCAAUGCGGGUAGAUUACCGCCAAACCAAAACUCCGCAAAUUGCGUCGCAGGUUUAAAAAAUAAACUGCAGCACGGUUGAGCGUUUUUGGCCGCGACGAUCAAAACCCCUCCUGUAUGUGAAAUCCUGUAUGGACAGAUUAAACGAUAUCAGAAAUCCGAUCAGAAGUAGUCCCUGAAGACUAGUCACUGAAGUAGUCUUGGCUGUCUGCUUGUGAUCCGAUCGCCCAGGACGCAUGUUGAUACCAGGUGUGAAAAAGCGCUUUGAUUACAUGGAGUGUUACUAUAGAAACAGUAUUGUAUUAGAACAAGUACAUUGUGAAGUACAGCCACUACGGCCCGAGAAAAUCGAACACCCGACGACCGGUUUUUUUCGCAGCCGUUCAAGAGGCUCAAGAUAUUUGUUGUAGGUUGUUUUCGGUUUGUUUGCUUUUCUCUGUGUGCUCGUAAGUUGACCGAGUAAAGAAAAAAACGUUGAAUAAACAGCGGUAAGCCUUGAACACUGCGUGCUGGCUUGAGUUCACCUCUUACUGUAGAUCUUUGUGAUACAACAGUGCAUUGUCCCAGGAUGCAUCACUGUUAUUUAAUCCCAAACAAGCUCCAAUAUCCGGCUCCCUUGCGGGCAAACGUCUGAGUCAUUCGCUUAUGAAGUCAUCUAUUUAAGCGCUCGGUCGGUACUGUUUACCAACAUCUGCUGUAGCCCGAAAACAGGAAUUCUGUUUCAAAGGUAGUGCUUGAUGUUUUUUAAUCACCAGCGAAAGGAAAAGCUCAAUUAUGCCGUAAUGAAUCACCCGGCUUGUGCUGUGGGUCUGGUUAUGACACAGACGCCGCUCAUCACGCUGAAUACGAACGGCUUUGAGUUGCUGUGUGUUUUCAUGAGCUCACGAUGAGUAACCGAGUCCUCAUUGACGGCGACUCUCUUUGAAGAAACCGUGCAGCUCUCCAGAGAAGGCCGAGUUGCUCCGGACGGCUGUUUACGUAAAGGAGAGGAGAUGGGUCACCAUCUGGAGAAAGCGAUACCAUCGUCACAGGUUCCUGUCAUUUGAAGUGCCCUGUGGUGUUUUUUUCUUUUUUCUUUUUUCUACACGUCUCUCUUCUGAGCGAAGUAGCCGGGAGGUUGCUCUUUUCAUCAGGUGUAAUUUUAUAUGCUGCCGUUCCUAAGAUGUGGACGUUGUACGAGAUCCUUGUGUGUGUGUGUGUGUGAGAGAGAGAGAGACACACGGCGGGGGGUGUUUGAGCUGGCCAAAAGAGCUUCAUGUUCUCCAAGACUCUCAUUCACGUAUAGACACGACACAGCCAUGUGUGAAUUAUUUAACACGCCGGUCAUGUCGCGGACGUGAAAUCUAACACUACGGUCUUAACGUUCACCUGAACGCGAUACGGAAGUUCUUUUGUUGACUCCAUUUCCUGUUCAGUAUAUUUUUAUUCACCGUUCCACCUUACAAGGUUGAAGAUACCUCCGUGCUGUAAAUACGAAACGCAAUACAUUUGUGGUGACAUCACGACAUCAUUCCUCCGUAAUCAUUGUUUAGACACUAGCGGCGCUGUGGUCCAUCACGGAAGUGAAAGUCCACACUUUAGGCAAUCCUAGAGUCAUGAUGAAGCGUUGGAAAUGGCCUCCUGCUGAUUUCAUCCCCGCUCGUUCGAAGAGACGUGUUCAGCUGACUGGUGGAAAGCUCCUUGGAACAGAUGGGGCUGUAAAGGGAGGAGACCUGCCCUGUUAGCCCUGGUUUUAAUUUCUCCUCAGCUCUGGCACUGCAGCGCUAUGGAACAGAUGCCAGGGCAGAUCUUCCUACCAAG